rnacentral:rRNA from 1 species
GAUGAACGCUGGCGGCGUGCUUAACACAUGCAAGUCGAACGAGUUACAUUAGAGGAAGUUUUCGGAUGGAAUCUAAUGUAGCUAGUGGCGGACGGGUGAGUAACGCGUGGGAAACCUGCCCUAUACAGGGGAAUAGCCUCGGGAAACCGGGAUUAAUACCCCAUAAAACUCUAGAAUCGCAUGAUUCAUGAGCCAAAGAUUUAUCGGUAUAGGAUGGUCCCGCGUCUGAUUAGCUAGUUGGUGAGGUAAAGGCCCACCAAGGCGACGAUCAGUAGCCGGCUUGAGAGAGUGGACGGCCACAUUGGGACUGAGACACGGCCCAAACUCCUACGGGAGGCAGCAGUGGGGAAUAUUGCACAAUGGGGGAAACCCUGAUGCAGCGACGCCGCGUGAAGGAAGAAGGUCUUCGGAUCGUAAACUUCUAUCAGCAGGGAAGAAGGAAGUGACAGUACCUGAGUAAGAAGCCCCGGCUAACUACGUGCCAGCAGCCCGCGGUAAAAUCAACGU